rnacentral:rRNA from 1 species
AUUGAACGCUGGCGGCAUGCCUAAUACAUGCAAGUCGAACGAGUGGCGGACGGGUGAGUAAUGUCUGGGAAACUGCUCGACGGAGGGGGAUAACUACUGGAAACGGUAGCUAAUACCGCUUACCUUCCGAUGUGCCCUGAUGGGAUUAGCUAGUAGGUGGGGUAACGGCUCACCUAGGCGACGAUCCCUAGCUGGUCUGAGAGGAUGACCGGCCACACUGGAACUGAGACACGGUCCAGACUCCUACGGGAGGCAGCAGUGGGGAAUAUUGCACAAUGGGCGCAAGCCUGAUGCAGCCAUGCCGCGUGUGUGAAGAAGGCCUUCGGAUUGUAAAGUUCUUUCAGCGAGGAGGCGUUACUCAAAGAGAAAGCACCGGCUAACUCCGUGCCAGCAGCCGCGGUAAUUC